rnacentral:rRNA from 1 species
GGUUAAGCGACUAAGCGUACACGGUGGAUGCCCUGGCAGUCAGAGGCGAUGAAGGACGUGCUAAUCUGCGAAAAGCGUCGGUAAGGUGAUAUGAACCGUUAUAACCGGCGAUGUCCGAAUGGGGAAACCCAGUGCAAUUCGUUGCACUAUCGUUAACUGAAUACAUAGGUUAACGAGGCGAACCGGGGGAACUGAAACAUCUAAGUACCCCGAGGAAAAGAAAUCAACCGAGAUUCCCCCAGUAGCGGCGAGCGAACGGGGAGCAGCCCAGAGUCUGAAUCAGCUUGUGUGUUAGUGGAACGGUCUGGAAAGUCCGACGGUACAGGGUGAUAGUCCCGUACACCAAAAUGCACAGGUUGUGAACUCGAAGAGUAGGGCGGGACACGUGGUAUCCUGUCUGAAUAUGGGGGGACCAUCCUCCAAGGCUAAAUACUCCUGACUGACCGAUAGUGAACCAGUACCGUGAGGGAAAGGCGAAAAGAACCCCGGCGAGGGGAGUGAAAAAGAACCUGAAACCGUGUACGUACAAGCAGUGGGAGCACCUUCGGGUGUGACUGCGUACCUUUUGUAUAAUGGGUCAGCGACUUAUAUUCUGUAGCAAGGUUAACCGUAUAGGGGAGCCGCAGGGAAACCGAGUCUUAACUGGGCGUUAAGUUGCAGGGUAUAGACCCGAAACCCGGUGAUCUAGCCAUGGGCAGGUUGAAGGUUGGGUAACACUAACUGGAGGACCGAACCGACUAAUGUUGAAAAAUUAGCGGAUGACUUGUGGCUGGGGGUGAAAGGCCAAUCAAACCGGGAGAUAGCUGGUUCUCCCCGAAAGCUAUUUAGGUAGCGCCUCGUGAAUUCAUCUUCGGGGGUAGAGCACUGUUUCGGCUAGGGGGUCAUCCCGACUUACCAACCCGAUGCAAACUACGAAUACCGAAGAAUGUUAUCACGGGAGACACACGGCGGGUGCUAACGUCCGUCGUGAAGAGGGAAACAACCCAGACCGCCAGCUAAGGUCCCAAAGUCAUGGUUAAGUGGGAAACGAUGUGGGAAGGCACAGACAGCCAGGAUGUUGGCUUAGAAGCAGCCAUCAUUUAAAGAAAGCGUAAUAGCUCACUGGUCGAGUCGGCCUGCGCGGAAGAUGUAACGGGGCUAAACCAUGCACCGAAGCUGCGGCAGCGACACUAUGUGUUGUUGGGUAGGGGAGCGUUCUGUAAGCCUGUGAAGGUGACCUGUGAGGGUUGCUGGAGGUAUCAGAAGUGCGAAUGCUGACAUAAGUAACGAUAAAGCGGGUGAAAAGCCCGCUCGCCGGAAGACCAAGGGUUCCUGUCCAACGUUAAUCGGGGCAGGGUGAGUCGACCCCUAAGGCGAGGCCGAAAGGCGUAGUCGAUGGGAAACAGGUUAAUAUUCCUGUACUUGGUGUUACUGCGAAGGGGGGACGGAGAAGGCUAUGUUAGCCGGGCGACGGUUGUCCCGGUUUAAGCAUGUAGGCUGAUUGUCCAGGCAAAUCCGGAUAAUCAAGGCUGAGGUGUGAUGACGAGGCACUACGGUGCUGAAGUAACAAAUGCCCUGCUUCCAGGAAAAGCCUCUAAGCAUCAGGUAACAUUAAAUCGUACCCCAAACCGACACAGGUGGUCAGGUAGAGAAUACCAAGGCGCUUGAGAGAACUCGGGUGAAGGAACUAGGCAAAAUGGUGCCGUAACUUCGGGAGAAGGCACGCUGGUGUGUAGGUGAAGUCCCUGCGGAUGGAGCUGAGACCAGUCGAAGAUACCAGCUGGCUGCAACUGUUUAUUAAAAACACAGCACUGUGCAAACACGAAAGUGGACGUAUACGGUGUGACGCCUGCCCGGUGCCGGAAGGUUAAUUGAUGGGGUUAUCCGUAAGGAGAAGCUCUUGAUCGAAGCCCCGGUAAACGGCGGCCGUAACUAUAACGGUCCUAAGGUAGCGAAAUUCCUUGUCGGGUAAGUUCCGACCUGCACGAAUGGCGUAAUGAUGGCCAGGCUGUCUCCACCCGAGACUCAGUGAAAUUGAACUCGCUGUGAAGAUGCAGUGUACCCGCGGCAAGACGGAAAGACCCCGUGAACCUUUACUAUAGCUUGACACUGAACAUUGAGCCUUGAUGUGUAGGAUAGGUGGGAGGCUUUGAAGCGUGGACGCCAGUCUGCGUGGAGCCAACCUUGAAAUACCACCCUUUAAUGUUUGAUGUUCUAACGUUGGCCCCUGACCGGGGUUGCGGACAGUGUCUGGUGGGUAGUUUGACUGGGGCGGUCUCCUCCCAAAGCGUAACGGAGGAGCACGAAGGUUAGCUAAUCCUGGUCGGACAUCAGGAGGUUAGUGCAAUGGCAUAAGCUAGCUUGACUGCGAGCGUGACGGCGCGAGCAGGUGCGAAAGCAGGUCAUAGUGAUCCGGUGGUUCUGAAUGGAAGGGCCAUCGCUCAACGGAUAAAAGGUACUCCGGGGAUAACAGGCUGAUACCGCCCAAGAGUUCAUAUCGACGGCGGUGUUUGGCACCUCGAUGUCGGCUCAUCACAUCCUGGGGCUGAAGUAGGUCCCAAGGGUAUGGCUGUUCGCCAUUUAAAGUGGUACGCGAGCUGGGUUUAGAACGUCGUGAGACAGUUCGGUCCCUAUCUGCCGUGGGCGCUGGAGAAUUGAGGGGGGCUGCUCCUAGUACGAGAGGACCGGAGUGGACGCAUCACUGGUGUUCGGGUUGUCAUGCCAAUGGCACUGCCCGGUAGCUAAAUGCGGAAGAGAUAAGUGCUGAAAGCAUCUAAGCACGAAACUUGCCCCGAGAUGAGUUCUCCCUGAGACUUUAAGUCUCCUGAAGGAACGUUAAAGACGAUGACGUUGAUAGGCCGGGUGUGUAAGCGCAGCGAUGCGUUGAGCUAACCGGUACUAAUGAACCGUGAGGCUUAACCUU